GCAAGUCGAGGGGCAGCGUGGAUAAGCUUGCUUUAUCCGCCGGCGACCGGCGCACGGGUGCGCAACGCGUAUAGAAUCUGCCCUGUACUGGGGAAUAGCCCAGAGAAAUUUGGAUUAAUGCCCCAUGGUAUGUAUUAGCGGCAUCGCUUAUACAUUAAAGGCUACGGUACAGGAUGACUAUGCGUCCCAUUAGUUAGUUGGUAAGGUAACGGCUUACCAAGGCAGCGAUGGGUAGGGGCCCUGAGAGGGGGAUCCCCCACACUGGUACUGAGACACGGACCAGACUCCUACGGGAGGCAGCAGUGAGGAAUAUUGGACAAUGGGCGGGAGCCUGAUCCAGCCAUGCCGCGUGCAGGAAGACGGUCCUAUGGAUUGUAAACUGCUUUUGUACGGGAAGAACAAGGGGCACGUGUGCCCUCUGACGGUAC
rnacentral:rRNA from 1 species